AGCAUAUCAAUAAGCGGAGGAAAAGAAACCAACAGGGAUUGCCUCAGUAACGGCGAGUGAAGCGGCAACAGCUCAAAUUUGAAAUCUGGCUCUUUCAGGGUCCGAGUUGUAAUUUGUAGAAGAUGCUUCGGGUGUGGCUCCGGUCUAAGUUCCUUGGAACAGGACGUCAUAGAGGGUGAGAAUCCCGUAUGUGACUGGCUGCCUCCGCCCAUGUGAAGCUCUUUCGACGAGUCGAGUUGUUUGGGAAUGCAGCUCAAAAUGGGUGGUAAAUUUCAUCUAAAGCUAAAUAUUGGCCAGAGACCGAUAGCGCACAAGUAGAGUGAUCGAAAGAUGAAAAGCACUUUGGAAAGAGAGUUAAACAGUACGUGAAAUUGUUGAAAGGGAAGCGCUUGCAAUCAGACUUGCGCGCGGUCGAUCAUCCGGGGUUCUCCCCGGUGCACUCGGCCGCGCUCAGGCCAGCAUCGGUUUCGGUGGUGGGAUAAAGGCCUUGGGAAUGUAGCUCCUCUCGGGGAGUGUUAUAGCCCUCGGUGCAAUGCCGCCUAUCGGGACCGAGGACCGCGCUUCGGCUAGGAUGCUGGCGUAAUGGUUGCAAGCGACCCGUCUUGAAACACGGACCAAGGAGUCUAACAUUUAUGCGAGUGUUUGGGUGUUAAACCCAUACGCGUAAUGAAAGUGAACGGAGGUGAGAACCCUUAAGGGUGCAUCAUCGACCGAUCCUGAUGUCUUCGGAUGGAUUUGAGUAAGAGCAUAACUGUUGGGACCCGAAAGAUGGUGAACUAUGCCUGAAUAGGGUGAAGCCAGAGGAAACUCUGGUGGAGGCUCGCAGCGGUUCUGACGUGCAAAUCGAUCGUCAAAUUUGGGUAUAGGGGCGAAAGACUAAUCGAACCAUCUAGUAGCUGGGUCUGC
rnacentral:rRNA from 1 species